UAGGGAAUCUUCGGCAAUGGGGGGAACCCUGACCGAGCAACGCCGCGUGAGUGAAUAAGGUUUUCGGAUCGUAAAGCUCUGUUGUUAAGGAAGAACGAGUGUGAGAAUGGAAAGUUCAUACUGUGACGGUACUUAACCAGAAAGGGACGGCUAACUACGUGCCAGCAGCCGCGGUAAUACGUAGGUCCCGAGCGUUGUCCGGAUUUAUUGGGCGUAAAGCGAGCGCAGGCGGUUAGAUAAGUCUGAAGUUAAAGGCAGUGGCUCAACCAUUGUAGGCGUUGGGAACUGUUUAACUUGAGUGCAGAAGGGGAGAGUGGAAUUCCAUGUGUAGCGGUGAAAUGCGUAGAUAUAUGGAGGAACACCGGUGGCGAAAGCGGCUCUCUGGUCUGUAACUAACACUGAGGCUCAAAAGCGUGGGGAGCGAACAGG
rnacentral:rRNA from 1 species